rnacentral:rRNA from 1 species
GACGAACGCUGGCGGCGUGCUUAACACAUGCAAGUCGAACGGAAAGGCCCUGCUUUUGUGGGGUGCUCGAGUGGCGAACGGGUGAGUAACACGUGAGUAACCUGCCCUUGACUUUGGGAUAACUUCAGGAAACUGGGGCUAAUACCGGAUAGGAGCUCCUGCUGCAUGGUGGGGGUUGGAAAGUUUCGGCGGUUGGGGAUGGACUCGCGGCUUAUCAGCUUGUUGGUGGGGUAGUGGCUUACCAAGGCUUUGACGGGUAGCCGGCCUGAGAGGGUGACCGGCCACAUUGGGACUGAGAUAGGGCCCAGACUCCUACGGGAGGCAGCAGUGGGGAAUAUUGCACAAUGGGCGGAAGCCUGAUGCAGAAACGCCGCGUGCGGGAUGACGGCCUUCGGGUUGUGAACCGCUUUCGCCUGUGACGAAGCGUGAGUGACGGUAAUGGGUAAAGAAGCACCGGCUAACUACGUG